GGAGUUAGCCGGUGCUUCUUCUGUGAGUGAUGUCCUUCUUGCCGGUUAUUGACCCGCAGGCCUUCUUCCUCACUGAAAGUGCUUUACAACCCGAAGGCCUUCUUCACACACGCGGCAUGGCUGGAUCAGGGUUGCCCCCAUUGUCCAAUAUUCCCCACUGCUGCCUCCCGUAGGAGUCUGGGCCGUGUCUCAGUCCCAGUGUGGCUGAUCAUCCUCUCAGACCAGCUACGGAUCGUCGCCUUGGUGAGCCGUUACCUCACCAACCAGCUAAUCCGACAUAGGCUCAUCCGAUAGCGCGAGGCCCGAAGGUCCCCCGCUUUCCCCCGUAGGGCGUAUGCGGUAUUAGCCUGGGUUUCCCCAGGUUAUCCCCCACUACCGGGCAGAUUCCUAUGCAUUACUCACCCGUCCGCCGCUCGCCACCAGGGAGCAAGCUCCCCGUGCUGCCGCUCGACUUGCAUGUGUUAGGCCUGCCGCCAGCGUUCAAUCUGAGCCAUGAUCAAACUCUGA
rnacentral:rRNA from 1 species